ensembl:lncRNA
ACACACACUCACAAACACACACUCCAGACACACAAGGCAUGCCUGAGCGGUCCGCUUGCAGGAGGAUGGCAAGGAACUCAUCCAUGUCUGUACUGAACUUCCCUGAUAGUGGGGGAGAGGUGUUGCAACACACACAUGUACACGCACACACGCACACACACACACACACACACACACACACACACACACACACACAUAAACACACACCUCUCUCCAAUGCCCUAUGUGUCUGUAAGGGGAGGGGGAGGGUAGGGGCGUCUGGUUGUCGUGACGAUGUUGGUUUAGGUAAAUGACAACAUGGGAGUCGGGUAGAGCAGGAAGAGCUCUGAUUGGCUCGCCGCUGCCCAUGUGGGGGGUAGAGGGGCUGUGGCCUCUUUCCAGGGGGGUUAAGUUGGGUGGGAGGGCAUGCAGGCAAUUAUCCUUCCAGCCAUAGCUACACACACACACACACACACACACACACACACACACACACACAGUGUACUCAGGCUUGUGUGUGUCAACACACUCAUUCACUAGUGAAUAACAUGCCGCGCUAUCGGCUGGACUGUAGAGCCAAAAAAACCUUUAUCGCCCCCCAGAGGUGGGCUUUAGGUAUUAAACAACCUCAGAUGCUCCUAAAGGUCUUUCUUUUUAAAGGGGUGGGGGGGAGAGGGGGUAGGGUUAGGGGUGGGGGUUGUACUCAUCUUUAUCGCUCAGUCGCUCACGGCCCACAUCCUGUGUUUUGGACCUUCAUACAUCUCAUGGCAGCGUCCUGUACAUCAGUCCUCCCGCCAGCAGGUGGCGCCGUGCUCUCUCCUGACUGCAGCCACGCUGUUAGACGCAGUAUCAGUCUUUCCCCCGGUUUCCCCUAGGAGACAAGUGGUGCGUGUCGUCGUGCCGCCUGUUACCGUAGCGAUGCGUAGGUGAUGGGAGGUAUCCGAGGGACGCCACACACACACAUCCGUGGCUCAGGGCAGAGUUGUGUGUGUGUGUGUGUGUGUGUGUGUGAGGGUUUGAGCGAUUCUCCGCAGGAGUAGUUUCUUCCCCUCUCUCCGAUUUGAUGUGUGUAGCACACAGCGCUAAGUAAAUGAUAAGGUAAUUGUGUUCUGGGGUAAGAUGUGUAAUGGAUACUUGAUUGCCCUGAGCAGAGUGAGUCUGUGGGCGGGGGGCAGGGGGCGGGGG